rnacentral:rRNA from 1 species
UAGGGAAUCUUCGGCAAUGGACGAAAGUCUGACCGAGCAACGCCGCGUGAGUGAAGAAGGUUUUCGGAUCGUAAAACUCUGUUGUUAGAGAAGAACAAGGACGUUAGUAACUGAACGUCCCCUGACGGUAUCUAACCAGAAAGCCACGGCUAACUACGUGCCAGCAGCCGCGGUAAUACGUAGGUGGCAAGCGUUGUCCGGUUUUAUUGGGCGUAAAGCGAGCGCAGGCGGUUUCUUAAGUCUGAUGUGAAAGCCCCCGGCUCAACCGGGGAGGGUCAUUGGAAACUGGGAGACUUGAGUGCAGAAGAGGAGAGUGGAAUUCCAUGUGUAGCGGUGAGAUGCGUAGAUAUAUGGAGGAACACCAGUGACGAAGGCGGCUCUCUGGUCUGUAACUGACGCUGAGGCUCGAAAGCGUGGGGAGCAAACAGG